rnacentral:tRNA from 1 species
AGUUAAAUAAGCUAGAAGCUGCUGGGUUCAUACCUCAGAUAAGGAUUGAAUCUAUAAUAA